GUGCCAGCCGCCGCGGUAAUACGUAGGGGGCCAGCGUUGCUCGGAAUUACUGGGCGUAAAGGGUUCGUAGGUGGUGCGGCAAGUUGGAAGUGAAAUCUCUGGGCUUAACCCAGAGGCUGCUUUCAAAACUGCCGCGCUCGAGUGCGAGAGAGGUCAGUGGAAUUGCAGGUGUAGCGGUGAAAUGCGUAGAUAUCUGCAGGAACACCCGUGGCGAAGGCGGCUGACUGGAUCGCAACUGACACUGAGGAACGAAAGCUAGGGGAGCAAACAGGAUUAGAUACCCGAGUAGUCC
rnacentral:rRNA from 1 species